AGAUGGCGACCGGCGCACGGGUGAGUAACACGUAUCCAACCUGCCGAUAACUCCGGAAUAGCCUUUCGAAAGAAAGAUUAAUACCGGAUGGCAUACGAAUAUCGCAUGAUAUUUUUAUUAAAGAAUUUCGGUUAUCGAUGGGGAUGCGUUCCAUUAGCUUGUUGGCGGGGUAACGGCCCACCAAGACUACGAUGGAUAGGGGUUCUGAGAGGAAGGUCCCCCACAUUGGAACUGAGACACGGUCCAA
rnacentral:rRNA from 1 species